CCCUUAGGUGUCCUGGGCCGCACGCGCGCUACACUGAUGCAUGCAACGAGUUUAUAACCUUGGCCUGAAAGGUCUGGGUAAUCUUUUGAACGUGCAUCGUGAUAGGGAUAGAUUAUUGCAAUUGUUAAUCUUGAACGAGGAAUUCCUAGUAAACGCGAGUCAUCAGCUCGCAUUGAUUACGUCCCUGCCCUUUGUACACACCGCCCGUCGCACCUACCGAUUGAAUGGUUCGGUGAAGAUCUCGGACUUCGAUAUUUAUUCUUUAUUGAGUUUAUAUUGUGGGAAGUUAUCUAAACCUCAUCAUUUAGAGGAAGGUGAAGUCGUAACA
rnacentral:rRNA from 1 species